rnacentral:tRNA from 1 species
GGCGUAUUAGCUCAGCUGGUUAGAGCGUGGUCCUAAUAAGGCAAAGGUCGCAGGUUCGUGACCUGCAAUGGCCA